rnacentral:rRNA from 1 species
UACGAGAGGCCCAAACGUUAUUCGGAAUUAUUGGGCGUAAAGGGCGCGUAGGCGGCUUCGCAAGUGGAAGGUGAAAUCCCUCGGCUUAACCGAGGAACUGCCCUCCAAACUGCGUGGCUUGAGACCGGGAGAGGUGAGUGGAAUUCCCAGUGUAGCGGUGAAAUGCGUAGAUAUCGGGAGGAACACCUGUGGCGAAAGCGGCUCACUGGACCACAACUGACGCUGAGGCGCGAAAGCUAGGGGAGCAAACGGG